rnacentral:rRNA from 1 species
UACGGAGGGUGCAAGCGUUGUCCGGAAUCACUGGGCGUAAAGGGCGCGUAGGCGGCCUGAUAAGUAGGGGGUGAAAUCCUGCGGCUUAACCGCAGGGCUGCCUUCUAAACUGUCGGGCUAGAGCACGGUAGAGGCAGAUGGAAUUCCCGGUGUAGCGGUGGAAUGCGUAGAGAUCGGGAAGAACAUCAGUGGCGAAGGCGACUACCUGGCCUGUUCUUGACGCUGAGGCGCGAAAGCUAGGGGAGCAAACGGG